AGAGUUUGAUCCUGGCUCAGAUUGAACGCUGGCGGCAGGCUUAACACAUGCAAGUCGAGCGGAGAUGAGGUGCUUGCACCUUAUCUUAGCGGCGGACGGGUGAGUAAUGCUUAGGAAUCUGCCAUUUAGUGGGGGACAACAUUCCGAAAGGAAUGCUAAUACCGCAUACGUCCUACGGGAGAAAGCAGGGGAUCUUCGGACCUUGCGCUAAAUGAUGAGCCUAAGUCGGAUUAGCUAGUUGGUGGGGUAAAGGCCUACCAAGGCGACGAUCUGUAGCGGGUCUGAGAGGAUGAUCCGCCACACUGGGACUGAGACACGGCCCAGACUCCUACGGGAGGCAGCAGUGGGGAAUAUUGGACAAUGGGCGGAAGCCUGAUCCAGCCAUGCCGCGUGUGUGAAGAAGGCCUUUUGGUUGUAAAGCACUUUAAGCGAGGAGGAGGCUACUAGUACUAAUACUACUGGAUAGUGGACGUACUCGCAGAAUA
rnacentral:rRNA from 2 species